rnacentral:rRNA from 1 species
AUUGAACGCUGGCGGCGGGCCUAACACAUGCAAGUCGAGCGGAGCGGCGGACGGGGGAGGACUGCCUAGGUAUUUGCCAGGUAGUGGGGGAUAACGGACGGAAACGGGCGCUAAUACCGCAUACUAUAAGAGGAGCUUAGGUCGGAUUUGCUAGUUGGUGGGGUAAAGGCUUACCAAGGCAACGAUCCGUAACCGGCCCGAGAGGAUGAUCGGUCACACUGGAACGGAGACACGGUCCAGACUCCUACGGGAGGCAGCAGUGGGGAAGUUUGGACAAUGGGCGAAAGCCUGAUCGAGCCAUGCCGCGUGAGUGAAGAAGGUCUUCGGAUUGUAAAGCUCUUUAGGUUGGGAGGCGGUACCAACCGAGUAAGCAACGGCUAACUACGUGCCAGCAGCCGCGGUAAUAC